GGGUUGUGAGGUUAAGCGACUAAGCGUACACGGUGGAUGCCCUGGCAGUCAGAGGCGAUGAAGGGCGUGCUAAUCUGCGAUAAGCGCCGGUAAGGUGAUAUGAACCGUUAUAACCGGCGAUACCCGAAUGGGGAAACCCAGUGUGACUCGUCACACUAUCAUUAACUGAAUCCAUAGGUUAAUGAGGCGAACCGGGGGAACUGAAACAUCUAAGUACCCCGAGGAAAAGAAAUCAACCGAGAUUCCCCCAGUAGCGGCGAGCGAACGGGGAGGAGCCCAGAGCCUGAAUCAGCAUGUGUGUUAGUGGAAGCGUCUGGAAAGGCGCGCGAUACAGGGUGACAGCCCCGUACACAAAAGCGCAUGUGCUGUGAGCUCGAUGAGUAGGGCGGGACACGUGGUAUCCUGUCUGAAUAUGGGGGGACCAUCCUCCAAGGCUAAAUACUCCUGACUGACCGAUAGUGAACCAGUACCGUGAGGGAAAGGCGAAAAGAACCCCGGCGAGGGGAGUGAAAAAGAACCUGAAACCGUGUACGUACAAGCAGUGGGAGNNNNNNNNNNNNNNNNNGACUGCGUACCUUUUGUAUAAUGGGUCAGCGACUUAUAUUCUGUAGCAAGGUUAACCGAAUAGGGGAGCCGGAGGGAAACCGAGUCUUAAUUGGGCGUUAAGUUGCAGGGUAUAGACCCGAAACCCGGUGAUCUAGCCAUGGGCAGGUUGAAGGUUGGGUAACACUAACUGGAGGACCGAACCGACUAAUGUUGAAAAAUUAGCGGAUGACCUGUGGCUGGGGGUGAAAGGCCAAUCAAACCGGGAGAUAGCUGGUUCUCCCCGAAAGCUAUUUAGGUAGCGCCUCGUGAAUUCAUCUCCGGGGGUAGAGCACUGUUUCGGCUAGGGGGCCAUCCCGGCUUACCAACCCGAUGCAAACUGCGAAUACCGGAGAAUGUUAUCACGGGAGACACACGGCGGGUGCUAACGUCCGUCGUGAAGAGGGAAACAACCCAGACCGCCAGCUAAGGUCCCAAAGUCAUGGUUAAGUGGGAAACGAUGUGGGAAGGCCCAGACAGCCAGGAUGUUGGCUUAGAAGCAGCCAUCAUUUAAAGAAAGCGUAAUAGCUCACUGGUCGAGUCGGCCUGCGCGGAAGAUGUAACGGGGCUAAACCAUGCACCGAAGCUGCGGCAGCGACACUGUGUGUUGUUGGGUAGGGGAGCGUUCUGUAAGCCUGCGAAGGUGGCCUGUGAGGGUUGCUGGAGGUAUCAGAAGUGCGAAUGCUGACAUAAGUAACGAUAAAGCGGGUGAAAAGCCCGCUCGCCGGAAGACCAAGGGUUCCUGUCCAACGUUAAUCGGGGCAGGGUGAGUCGACCCCUAAGGCGAGGCCGAAAGGCGUAGUCGAUGGGAAACGGGUUAAUAUUCCCGUACUUGGUGUUACUGCGAAGGGGGGACGGAGAAGGCUAUGUUGGCCGGGCGACGGUUGUCCCGGUUUAAGCGUGUAGGUGUGUGUUCCAGGUAAAUCCGGUUCACUUUAACACUGAGGCGUGACGACGAGGCACUACGGUGCUGAAGCAACAAAUGCCCUGCUUCCAGGAAAAGCCUCUAAGCAUCAGGUAACAUCAAAUCGUACCCCAAACCGACACAGGUGGUCAGGUAGAGAAUACCAAGGCGCUUGAGAGAACUCGGGUGAAGGAACUAGGCAAAAUGGUGCCGUAACUUCGGGAGAAGGCACGCUGACACGUAGGUGAAGUGAUUUACUCAUGGAGCUGAAGUCAGUCGAAGAUACCAGCUGGCUGCAACUGUUUAUUAAAAACACAGCACUGUGCAAACACGAAAGUGGACGUAUACGGUGUGACGCCUGCCCGGUGCCGGAAGGUUAAUUGAUGGGGUCAGCGCAAGCGAAGCUCCUGAUCGAAGCCCCGGUAAACGGCGGCCGUAACUAUAACGGUCCUAAGGUAGCGAAAUUCCUUGUCGGGUAAGUUCCGACCUGCACGAAUGGCGUAAUGAUGGCCAGGCUGUCUCCACCCGAGACUCAGUGAAAUUGAACUCGCUGUGAAGAUGCAGUGUACCCGCGGCAAGACGGAAAGACCCCGUGAACCUUUACUAUAGCUUGACACUGAACAUUGAGCCUUGAUGUGUAGGAUAGGUGGGAGGCUUUGAAGUGUGGACGCCAGUCUGCAUGGAGCCGACCUUGAAAUACCACCCUUUAAUGUUUGAUGUUCUAACGUGGACCCGUUACCCGGGUUGCGGACAGUGUCUGGUGGGUAGUUUGACUGGGGCGGUCUCCUCCUAAAGAGUAACGGAGGAGCACGAAGGUUGGCUAAUCCUGGUCGGACAUCAGGAGGUUAGUGCAAUGGCAUAAGCCAGCUUGACUGCGAGCGUGACGGCGCGAGCAGGUGCGAAAGCAGGUCAUAGUGAUCCGGUGGUUCUGAAUGGAAGGGCCAUCGCUCAACGGAUAAAAGGUACUCCGGGGAUAACAGGCUGAUACCGCCCAAGAGUUCAUAUCGACGGCGGUGUUUGGCACCUCGAUGUCGGCUCAUCACAUCCUGGGGCUGAAGUAGGUCCCAAGGGUAUGGCUGUUCGCCAUUUAAAGUGGUACGCGAGCUGGGUUUAGAACGUCGUGAGACAGUUCGGUCCCUAUCUGCCGUGGGCGCUGGAGAACUGAGGGGGGCUGCUCCUAGUACGAGAGGACCGGAGUGGACGCAUCACUGGUGUUCGGGUUGUCAUGCCAAUGGCACUGCCCGGUAGCUAAAUGCGGAAGAGAUAAGUGCUGAAAGCAUCUAAGCACGAAACUUGCCCCGAGAUGAGUUCUCCCUGAGACUUAAAGUCUCCUGAAGGAACGUUGAAGACGACGACGUUGAUAGGCCGGGUGUGUAAGCGCAGCGAUGCGUUGAGCUAACCGGUACUAAUGAACCGUGAGGCUUAACCUUACAACGCCGAAG
rnacentral:rRNA from 1 species